ACAUUACGUUGAAGGGACCUGGAUUCAGAUUCUACUAUAUUCAAAUGCAAAACAGUCAAAAUGACUGUGUCUGUAGCAAUAAAAGUAUUUCAUGAUGGGAAACAUCAAACUGGUCUCAGAGAUGAGCCACAAUCGACGCACUCUGGACCGACUGUGCACCUGGCCGACACCGUGACAGCGAAGUCUUGUGGUGGUAAACCUGGGAGACUCACCUGAUUCUCUGGAAUGGAGGCCUGGUACAGGCUGUGGCUGAAGAAACAAAGACGGUGCAGGUUACCUGAGGAUUCACACCACACACUGAUGGUGUUCUGAGUCUUUACAUUGACUUGCCUGAGCUGUCACAGUGAAGUUGUACUGCUGGACUAUAUUGUAGUUCAAGCGUCUCUUCAAAAUAAAAGCCCCUACGCUGUUCACCGUGAAGUCUUCUGAAGCCGGCACCUAUUGAAGGAGAGUGACCAUCACAUUUCCAUAUAAGAUACUGGUUCUUAUCACAACAGUGACUCCAUGUCAUUUAUCCAGCCCCAUUAGGUGGAGACUGGAAUGUUUUAAUCCUAAAUAUAUAAUAUACAGUCGUCUGCAAAACCAGGUGCGUUCUUCAGCUGUGGCGUCCCGAGCUCUGCAGCACCAGUCACCAGUUUCCCCAUACAAGAUGCCCAGAGGAAAUAGAUCAUGCUCAGCAAAAACACAGUCAGCCCAAGCACAAAGAGAGAAUUCUGUACUGAAGACGAACUUUGGAAGACACCAGCUCCGACCUCCGAAGCCUCAUCUUAGCUGCAGAAAUCUGUUCCAAAAUGUGGGGACGAGCUGUCUCAGCCUCCUGGGACCCAGACUCAUCGACCAGUGCAGAAACAUUCACUUCUAAAAGGUUUUGAACACGACUCUGGCAAAUAAGAUGGACAUGGAAACCCGGUGCCAUAUACAAUGGGUCUCUAACAGACUGAAUCACGAUGCAGAUUUCAGUGGAGGCGUCCUGAUAAGAUGCCCGAACCACCUCAUCUGGCUCCUUUCAAAGUGAAGGAGCAGCGGUUCUACUCCGAGUCCCUUCUGGAUGUCCAAGCUCCACACCCUGUCUCUAAGGCUAACUCUGGUCUCCCUACAGAGAAAACUAAUUUCAGCCACUUGUAUUCAUGGUGUUAUUCCUUCAGUCACUACCCACAGCUCGUGGCCAUAGGUGAGGGUUGGAGCGUAGACUGGAAGAGGAGGAGGAGGAGGAGAAGGAGCUUUGCCUUUCAGCUCAGCUCCUUCUUCACCAUGACAUUCUGGUACAAUGUCUGCAUUGCUGCUGAUGCUGUCCCUCACCGCCCGUCAGUCUCACUCAUGAACAAGAUGAUGCUUAAGUAUCUUAAACAUAACCAUAAAAAACCUUAAUCCUGCUGUAGCUGCUCUGAGAAGCUACUGAAGUGCAUCAGCAGGUACUGUGGGGUGAACUAAUGAGAUAUUCUGUAUAUUCUCGUUUCAAUAGAAAACAAUCAAAGUACUGAAAUGUAUUUGCUGCACAUCAGCAGUAUAUAAACGUUGUUUCUCGGAGCCAGGUUUGCACAGACUCACAGCUGCCAGUGCGUCAGCGUCCAGUGGCUUCGUGGUGCGAACUGUGGCGGCGGUGUCUCCGAGCGUGAAGCUCAGCUCCAGAAACUCCAGGUGGGCGGGGAAGAUGUUGGGCACCAGCUUCACACCGCUUCCUGCUGUGAUCCCACUCACCAACUCCACAUCGCCUGCAGCAUCGUGGCAGCAGAACGAGAAGGAAAAACCAAAAUCAGCAUCAUUUUGACAUUUGAUGGACAAGUGUUGUAUUCCAGCAUCUCCAAGACCACAAACAGGAACUCCGCUGACGACACACCCACAGACUGAGAAGAUGAAGAGGAGACUGCUCCGAACCAAACCAUUGAGCUCCAUAUCAGCUCAAACUUGGAAACCCACACUGGAUGGAUCACCUGAAUCACAGGUGUUAAGAAGCGUCUGCAGUUUACUUUGCCCUCCUUCCCUGCAAUCACCUUUUAUGGCAGGUUAUAAAGUCAUCCACCGAUGAUACACUGAGCUGAAGAGCAGGGCCAAGUCCAAGUUUCAUUUCUGGUGAAACAGACGUGUGUGAACGAGCAAUGUGGACUAAAUCUAGCUAUUGAUAAAACUCUGCUGCACGUUCACAUUUCAGAGAAUUCUGACUUUGUACCUUUCAUAUUUUCCUUGGGGUGUCGUGUUCAGACUUUUUGAGGGGACACGAGUCUCACAAGUCUGUCGUCAUUCAUUUGUCAUUUACUAAAUUUAAUUCAUCUACACAACAAUCCGUUUGUUCUUCAAUUUAUACAUGUGAACCUAUUACUGAUCGGGGGGUAAGAGACACAAGUUCCUGGGCAUCAGUCUGUCGUCUCGACUUCAUGAAAACGUUUUGAAUGACAUUUGUAAUUAGAUACCAGGCCUAGAUUUACAGGCUUAGAUUUUCCUCCCAGUAGAGUCCAAAAAACAAUAAAUGCAGCUUUAAACUGUUCACGGGGCCAUAACAUCAAACUCACCAUCUGAAAAAUCAAAAGACAUGUUUGUCUUUUCACUGCACAGUAAUGGCAACAGAAACACAUCUGACUGGUUCCUCCGACAUGUACCUGCUGUGCCAUCGACUGUCUGCAGCUCCUCCUACACUGACAGACUGAAGGUGCAUUAAUCCUCAAACUGACCUUCAGACCUUGAUUGAUUGAUUGAUUGAUUGAUUCUUUCAAACAUGCAGAA